AACGAACGCUGGCGGCAUGCCUAACACAUGCAAGUCGAACGAUACCUUCGGGUCUAGUGGCGCACGGGUGCGUAACGCGUGGGAACCUGCCCUUAGGUUCGGAAUAACUCCCCGAAAGGGGUGCUAAUACCGGAUAAUGUCUUCGGACCAAAGAUUUAUCGCCUUUGGAUGGGCCCGCGUUGGAUUAGCUAGUUGGUAGGGUAAAAGCCUACCAAGGCGACGAUCCAUAGCUGGUCUGAGAGGAUGAUCAGCCACACUGGGACUGAGACACGGCCCAGACUCCUACGGGAGGCAGCAGUGGGGAAUAUUGGAAAAUGGGCGAAAGCCUGAUCCAGCAAUGCCGCGUGAGUGAUGAAGGCCUUAGGGUUGUAAAGCUCUUUUAACCGGGAUGAUAAUGACAGUACCGGGAGAAUAAGCUCCGGCUAACUCCGUG
rnacentral:rRNA from 1 species